GAACUAUGAUGAAAAACCAAUGUCAUGAAGUGAGUUGAUGACAUAAAAAUCAUGCACACAAGGCCUAUGUUGAGGCAC
rfam:Mesocricetus auratus contig197589, whole genome shotgun sequence.